rnacentral:rRNA from 1 species
GACGAACGCUGGCGGCGUGCUUAACACAUGCAAGUCGAACGGAAAGGCCCUGCUUUUGUGGGGUGCUCGAGUGGCGAAAGGGUGAGUAACACGUGAGUAACCUGCCCUUGACUUUGGGAUAACUUCAGGAAACUGGGGCUAAUACCGGAUAGGAGCUCCUGCUACAUGGUGGGGGUUGGAAAGUUUCGGCGGUUGGGGAUGGACUCGCGGCUUAUCAGCUUGUUGGUGGGGUAGUGGCUUACCAAGGCUUUGACGGGUAGCCGGCCUGAGAGGGUGACCGGCCACAUUGGGACUGAGAGACGGCCCAGACUCCUACGGGAGGCAGCAGUGGGGAAUAUUGCACAAUGGGCGGAAGCCUGAUGCAGCAACGCCGCGUGCGGGAUGACGGCCUUCGGGUGGUAAACCGCUUUCGCCUGUGACGAAGCGUGAGUGACGGUAAUGGGUAAAGAAGCACCGGCUAACUACGUG